rnacentral:rRNA from 1 species
AAUUCUAAUUUAAUAGAAGUCAAGUUAUGAUCUGAGAGAUAACUUAAAAAUGGAAAGUUAUUUAGGAACCAAAUAAAAGGCAAAAAACCAAACUUCAUACAAACUUAAAUGAUUGACAUUUAAAAUAAAAGAGAUUUUUUUUUACGUGGAUUUGAGACAAAUAAGCCUACCUUGGUACAUAACCGCUGAAAACUAAAAAACCGUACCCUAAACCAACACAGGUGGAUAGGUCGAGUAGACUAAGGUGUAUGAGAUAAUUAUGUUGAAGGAACUCGGCAAAAUGACUCUGUAACUUCGGGAGAAAGAGUACCUUUUUAUUUAAGUGUUUAUCGACG